CCCCCACUUUUGCAGCAUUUUGUGUGUGUUUGUGUUUUCUGUGGUGAUAACUAACCAGUGUUCAUGACCACACUUUCGUGAACAUGAAUUAAUUCAUGGUAGAAGAUCUGUGCAGCAUCGCAAUCUGUAGGAGAAUUAAACAGAAAAAAAACAAGAAAAAAGAAAAAUGGCAAACAAAGAGAACGAGAGACAAUGUAAUGAAUCAGGAGAGAAACAAACGCUGAAACGAGUCAGACGGAACAGUAUUAAUAGUGGAAUACCAAACUUUUCUGGUGAUCCAGACAAUUUCAUUCUGAGUGACACAGAGACAAGUUCUAGGAGUGUGUUUUCUCCUCAGACAAGAGCAGCUCCUUUUACUGGACCAGCAGAAUAUUCUUUAUAUUCAGUCUCUGAUCAAAUACUGUAUAAUUUACAUUGUUUGUUGUAUUUUAGUGUUACUAUAUAUUCAAAAUAUUAUAGACCUAUACAACGAAUAUCAACAUCAUUCACUGUACAAAAUAUUUUUUCAAAACUGACAAUGGGAGUAUUAUUUGGAAUACUAUUGUUGUACUAUUGUUUACUAGUGGUUUCUUAA